rnacentral:misc_RNA from 1 species
AACGCAACUUGCGCUCUCUGGUAUUCCGGAGAGCAUGCCUGUUUGAGUGUCAUGAAAUCUCAACCAUUAGGGUUUCUUAAUGGCUUGGAUUUGAGUGUUGCCAGUCUCUGGCUCACUUUAAAGGAGUUAGCGAGUUUAACAAUGUCGUCUGGCGUAAUAAGUUUCGCUGGUAAGACUUGUGAAGUUUGCUUCUAAUCGUCUUCGGACAAUUACUUUGACUCUGGCCUCAAAUCAGGUAGGACUACCCGCUGAACUUAA